CUCUUAUAAUAUUUUAUCAAUUAAAAACCUUCAUGAGAAUGUGUAAAUUCAAUGUUCCGAGAAUCUAUAGGAAGGCAUCGCUUCACUACUGCAGAUACAUGUAUAAUUGUACAAAGGAUCCUAACUUUCUGUUUAACCUAAUAUUCGAGAGUAAAGAUCCAUGUAUCAAUAACAAGAGAUAUCUAACAUCUCAAAAGUAAAUUGGAAACACAUGGGCCAAGCACUGAUAUGCAAACUCUUGAAAUACAGGCACAUCUUCAGCAGAUUCUUCAAAAUAAUUAGAUUUAUGAUUUUUUUUUCCCCUAUGGCGUCUCAAGAAAAAAGCUUUUAACUGAAAGCUUUUGAAAUGUUGCUGGCAUCUCGAAAACUUGCAAUAUUCAAGUGAUAAUCUUGUAGAAUGUUGCUCUUGAAGGUGACAAAUACGACUUAAUACUUUGAAUAGUUCUUUAGAUGUUGUAAGGCCAUUACAUGCAUCGUUAAGACGAUUCAUCGCUCCAACUAUGUGCCUACACGGUCUGCAGCCAUGAUAUUUCGUCUAAUCAUCCUGCAUUAGUCUACAAUUUGAUCAACAAUAUCCCUUGUGUAGCACAUCAAGCUCAGAAGCUGAUAAGUGUAUACUAUUACAAAUAUUCAAAGCUAACGGAAGAAAAAAAAUCCCAAAGUUCAUGGACUCUUGGCGUAAGAUAUGGUAAGCAAUAAACAAGAAAUUAACUUCAUUUUCAUCUUUAUUAAUUAAUACUUCCCAAUACUCUCAAUUUCAUCUUGCCAAACAUAACAUUGGAGUCUAUUGUUGAGGAUUUAUUCAACAUAUUCACGAUCAGGGGACAGAAGAAAACGCGAACAUUAAAAGUCGUAUAGGUUAAAAAAAAUAAACAUAAGACAUCUUAACUUUGGUGGCACCUACAAGAAAUUCAAACCAUGUUCUCUUUUCUAUUGAGGUAAAAGAGAAUUUAUCCAUUUCGUGAAAUCAUUUCUAGGUACGCGAAAGGGUGUACAAAAAGGCAAUUACACUACUAUUUUACAUCACUAAAGAACGUAAAUUUAGGGGACGAUUUAGACUACUUUAAUUGCAAUUAACGUGCUAGAAUUCACUUAAUAAUACAAGAAAAAACCAUAGAGUUAAGCAACGUAAUUCGAAUGAAAAGAAUGUUUACCUUUUUUACUAAUCUAAUAUAUAUAAUUUGCAGAAAAAAGCAAAACACGUUAUAAUUAUUAUGGAAAUGAGCAUUUUGCCAUACCUCUAUUAAGCAAGAAUGAAGAUAAGUAUUCCCUGUUCAAUUAUGAUCAGCCUGCAGAAGCUUUGGAGAACCAGCUGAUACUCCUACUUCAGAUGGAUCCAUUCUUUGCAAAUUCCCAAUACAAAAAUCACAAAAAAGAGAAAAGCAUUCAGUAAAAUUUGUGAAAUAUUGAGUAAUCGUAAUACACAAAGAAUCCCUUCAACUCAAACUCCAAAUUUACAUGAAACUCAUAAAAACAACUAGCUGCUUUAGCACAAACAAAAGCCAACAAGAUGGCAUCAGUUAAUGAUACAUGGUUGAUGGUACAUGUUUUUCACCAAAACUUCCAAGCUAGUAUAAUAAAUUGAUAAUAGCACAUUGCAUUCCUUGGUGUAACUUCAUUUGAAAAUACAAAACAGCAUUUAUAAUACAAGGUCGGAUCUUCAAGCAACAGAAGUAAAAACAUUCAAGUUUAUUGGACCGAGAAAAAUGUAACUCAAGUCAAACAGAAGGGCGAACAUCUUGUAAUAAGUUCAUUGAAAAUAAGGCUCUAAACUGUAACCGCUUGUGCACUCAGACUUGGAAUCUCUCGAAAGUGCAUCGUAUUUUGUGCCUUUCUUUUAUAGUCUUUUACAAUAAACCAACACGGAACUAAAAGAAAAUAGAAAAUAUGCACACACGGAGACAAACACACAAAGAAAAUUCUUUCUUUUUUGUUUUCUUUUUUACUUUCAAAGCUAAUAACAAAAAGUUUUGUUUACUUUAAUCAGAGAAGAACACAAUGUUCUAUCUUCUUCUGCUUAACAAUAACACCUAUGCGAACCUACACUCUUCCAGAAAAACAUUAACCUAAUAAAUCCCAAAAGCAAAAGGUCAAUAGAAAAGAAAUGUUAAAAGUUGUUAAAAAAAGAGUUAUACCCAUCUUCAAGCACAGAAGUUGGAGAGUCUGAUAGGAACUCGUUCUUUUCAUUUUCAGGAACCAUUCUCAAACCCUAAUCAGAAAAAUUCAAAUCCCACAAUAAAGAAAAACAAAAAACAACCCGAACCAGGCAUCUCCAUUGUCAACAUAUACAAGAAACCCCCAAAAAAAAAAAUCAAUGAAUCACAACUUCACAAACCCAACCUCCGAUGUUGAUUGAAAAGAAUUUAGGCCCCGUUUGAUUACACGAAAUUUUCCAUGGAACUUGGAAUUUGAAUUCCAACUUCCACUUUUGGCCUGUUUGAUUGACAAAAUUUUUCAGGGAAUUGAUUUUCCAUGAAUUUCUAGGUACAACACCUUAAAGUGUGAUUUUCCAUCUUUUUUUUUUCUAGAGGAUAGGUGGUUUUUGGUUUUCCACCUUAUUUUUAUUUUUAUUUUUUUGCUUUUUUUUAAUUGUUGGCAAUGGGAACAAAUUUUAAGAAUAAUUAUAAAAGAGAAUAUCCCUGAAAUUGACAAUUUUCACGUAAAACAAAGUCAAACGAAUAUCAAAAAAUACUUUUACUUCAACAUUUUCCACGUGAAAAAUUUAUACAAUCAAACACAAUAAUUUACAAUUUCCAUGAAAACAAUUUCUAGAUAAUUCAAUUCCCUGGAAUUCAUUUUCUUUCCAUGUAAUUUUCCUACUUGUAAUCAAACGCACCCUUAGAGAUGGACAUAAAUCUUUUCGCCCAUCCGAAGUGUUGGAAAUGAAGCAAUUUUCCCCCCUAUCAUCAAAAGCAAUCUUCA
rnacentral:lncRNA from 1 species